AGAGAAGAAGUCACAAACAGAGCAGGAAUCAAUGAAUGAAUGAACUGGGUUCAUAUAAACUAUGAUCUGAAUAUCUGAGAAAAACAUGUGAGAAAGUAUAAAAUUAAAGAUAAAAAUGCAAAGAACUUGGUAAACCACCAACAAAAUCCACAUCUUCUCUUACUUCAACUCAAGUCUAUUUAAAACUCAUUUUCAAUGACGGUACACCUGAAGGACUCUCUGUUGGUGUAUUUUCCACAGAGGUAAAAGGUUUCGUCUAGCGUACGGGACACUUCCUCAUUUGCCUCAUCAUCUGAGCUGAGAUCCUCCAAGCAGACGUGCAACUGAGCAAGCCUCUGACGAAGAAUCACUCACGAUGAAGACGUCAUGGUGGACUUACUAUCAGAGCGCACACGUGGAACAUCAAAUGUGUGCGACAUCUUUUUGCUGUUCUCCCAAAACAACUGAUCGUCUGAAGCCUGAUUCAUCCAAUCCAAGAGAUCAGCUGAAAUCACAAAAGUGCUUGAGCCUAGACGACGAGAAAAGCUGAGAGAAAGAGAAGCAGAAGGAGGUGGUAUCAGGGACUAUCGGUCACCGUGCUGGAUUUGGUGUCUCAUGUACUCUGCCUCCAUGACACCCAGGAUACUUUCUGCAUUAUAAAUGCCUUUGCCCGCGUGGCUGCAUUUUGCUGUAUAAGGAUUUACUUAUUGUUUCGGUAAUGAUAGAGUCAAGUUUACAAAUAGAUUGUGAGAUUCAAUACACAGCCAACAAUUUUUUAUCCAGU